AAUAGGUGUGCUGUGGGGGCGAUCGAGCGACUUAAAGGGCGCUUGAGCCGCACAUGGCGAUGGGAGGUGGCACUCCAGAGCCACAGGGCCUCUCUAGGGUCACUUGGGAGUGUACCAACCAGGCCUUAAUCAGACACGCCCAGACUCGAGGGGACAGUACUAGGCUCACCUAGGCAAGGGUCGGAUUCCUGGAAAAGGUCGGCAAUGUCCCGGCCCCCUAGCACCGUGCGCCCCACAAAAUGCUGAGUAACGAUGACUAGGAAGUCUGCGCGCGCCCUCGCCUCCUCUCCGGAUUUUACUCCGACGGUUCUCCUCUGUCUUUCCUCCUUCCUAUUCUUUCACUUUCGCCAGUGAACCGGCUCCUUCACAGUGACGCUGCAGUUCAGAGCGGUAGAGAUGGCCGGGCGACAUGUUGACCAGCACACCGCUACAGCUGCUGCUUGACACGCCUCAUAACCAUUCUCCCUUUUUGGAUACUGGCUCCUGCUUUUCCUUUGUAUCACUCUCUCCUCCACUGCACCCUGUAGUCCUGUUGGGGCCAGUGAUGCACAGAUAUCACACCUGUUCCCUGCCACUAGCCCCAAAGAUUUUGAAACUGGAACACAGAAAGAUUAAGUAACAUGCUCAAGUUCCACAGCAAGUAAAGAGCAGAGCUCCAGUUCAAACUGCGAUAGUGUGACCCUUGCCCACAGUUCAACGCUGGCAACAGCAGAAACCUAAGAAUGAAACUAUAAAAUUAACUCCUAAUGAGUGAGAGCGGAUAUAUAUAAAAGUGUCUUAAUAAUAGAAUGUCGUCCAGGCCAGAAGCAAGGAAAUUAAACAGAUGCGUCUGAAAGCCCCUGGGUUCAACUGUCUUCUGAGCCAAAUAAAAAUUGCUUAGGUUUUCCUUGGGAGAAAAAUGCUCAUCUAAUUAGUUUGGCAAGCAUGAACCAAGCCCAAACACCUGCUGAUGUUUUUCUUUCACUGUUGCCAGGUGAUCCAUGAGCAAUCUUGGAUCAACAGAUAAUUGGAAUUCACGCUGACUAUAAUUAAUUAUGUAAUUUUAACUUCUGAAGUUUAUUUCCACUAGAAUUACCCCAUAAAACUGGGAUGCUUAAAGGCUGCUGUGGAAAAAGGAGAGAAUAGGGAACCAGAGACUUAUUUACAGUUGACUCAGCUAUGAGUCAUAUCCAUCACAGUGUGAAUUUUCUCAACCCACCAUUAUUAAUUCUAUCAAAUAUCUGUGUAAUUAUGCAGUCAUUCAACUCCUGCAGUGAGUACCUACUAAAUGUCAGGCACUGUUCUGAGCUCUGGGAAUUUGACAGUGAGCAGGCAGAUAAACCUCCUGCUCUCAUGGUGUUCGUAUUCUGUGUGUGUGUGUGUGUGUGUGUUGUAAUCCCACCACUGCCCAAUUAAAAAGCCUGAACUUCUCCUGGCUCCUUAAUGUUUCCAUUACUAUCUGGAAUCAAAGAAUGUGUUUAUCUGAUGGAUGUGCUGAAUCUCUCAGGGAGGCAUCACUUGGCCUAGUCUUUCCAGAGGCACCUAAGGAGAAGACACUGUGGCCAAAGUCUUCCUUGUCAGAGGCGACAUCUGCUGGGAGAUAAUGAUUUGUUAUUUAUUAGGUGUCCCAAAUUCCAUGAAAAAAUUGUGUAUUUCAUAUGUACUUUAUUCUCACAAUAAUCUAAGGUCUACUACAUGUCAGAAGUUUGAUGAUGAGCCUACUUCAUACCUUAAACUUCUCUGAAGUUGAGAUGUAUCUUAUAAGCCUCAUUAUUGGUGUUGUACAGGGUGACCAAAAGAAGAAACUGCAGAGAAAAUUUGGGCAGACCUAAUUUUGAUCUCACUUUGCUUACAGACUAAUCUGGGUUAUUACUCUUAGGUAACUCUUCCUAUCUGCUUGGAUUUCUUUUUACAAAACAGAGUGGUUAUGUGGAUGGCAUUCCAAAGACUGGUCAAGGACAUAGACCAGGAGGGAGCAAUUUUAAUAUAUUCAUUUUCUCUAUUGCACUGACAAGAGUAACAGAAACGACACAAGUAACAAUUAUUGAAUGUUGUUAGGUCCCCUUCAGUUUCCAUGCCUUGUAAAAAGAAAGAUGUCGGUGGCCUUUCUGGUGAAGAAAGUUGAACCUCAUUCUUUGUCUCCUAAACUGGAUGGGCUUGAGUACACAUUUGAACUGAAGUGCUAAAGUGGCUUGGAAAAAACAACUUGACCAAUAUAGACUUCCACAGACUUAAACUUAGCAUUGAGGAGACUGGCUCAAUUAAAGGAAAAAAAUACAUCACACGUAAAUUGUAAGAUCUAAGAAGAGGCAGGAGCCAUGACUACUUUGCUAAGACUGAGACUGUGUCAUGGGAAAACAAGUUCAAUGAUAGCUGUAGUUAAAUUAAGCUGGGAAUGAGUGAGGACGAAGAUUGGAGGAUGGCCUCUGCAUGGGUAGUGUUCAUUUGCUGAGAGUAGACUGUCAAUCACUCUGAACUCCUUUCCAGGGCAGCUGAUGAGAAGGGUAACCACCAUCUUUGUUGAGGUGUUCUCUCCAUGGUCCGUGCCUGUGAUGCUGGCACAUGUGCUGUAGAAAGUCUUGGUGAGAAAUGCGUGAAGGGCAGUUUUUAUACCAAAACCGUUCCUUGUUAUUUUGAAUAUCUACUUCAUUUCUCUAGUAUUUCUUAUUUGCCCAAACACAAUCUGUCAAUGAUUAAUAAAAGAAAGUAUGCAGUGUACUAGUCACUUACAAAGGUUAAUGUCUUGUUACACUUGUAGUUAAAUAUUGCCAGUUUUACGAAAAGCACUAAAACGAGCAUUUUUAGAACUUGGGUUUAUUUGGCUGUCUAUAAGAUGACUACUUUUUAUUGCAUUCUUUUUGUCUGUGGUACUGCAAUUGAACUCAGGGCCUUGAGUUUGCUAGGUAGGCACUCUAUCACUUAAGCCA